rnacentral:rRNA from 1 species
GCACGAGAACACCUCAGCUUGCUGGGGUAAGUAAAGUGGCGCACGGGUGAGUAACGCGUGGGUAAUCUGCCCCUGAAUCUGGGAUAACGCUGCGAAAGCGGUGCUAAUACCGGAUGACAUCGAAUUGACUUCGGUUGAUUGGAUCAAAGGUAGCCACUCCAUGGAAGCUACUGUUUGGGGAUGAGCCCGCGUACCAUUAGCUUGUUGGUAGGGUAACGGCCUACCAAGGCGACGAUGGUUAGCUGGUCUGAGAGGAUGAUCAGCCACACUGGAACUGGAACACGGUCCAGACUCCUACGGGAGGCAGCAGUGAGGAAUUUUGCGCAAUGAGGGAAACCUUGACGCAGCAACGCCGCGUGAGUGAUGAAGGCUUUCGGGUCGUAAAGCUCUGUCAAGUGGGAAGAAAUCCCGGGAAGUGAACAGUUUUUCGGGUUGACGGUACCACUGAAGGAAGCACCGGCUAACUCCGUGCCAGCAGCCGCGGUAAUACGGAGGGUGCGAGCGUUAUUCGGAAUUACUGGGCGUAAAGGGCGCGCAGGCGGUCAUGUAAGUCAGAUGUGAAAGCCCGGGGCUUAACCCUGGAAGUGCAUUUGAAACUGUGUGACUUGAGUAUGGGAGAGGGAAGCGGAAUUCCUGGUGUAGCGGUGAAAUGCCGUAGAUAUCAGGAGGAACACCCGUGGCGAAGGCGGCUUCCUGGACCAAUACUGACGCUGAGGCGCGAAGGCGUGGGGAGCAAACAGGAUUAGAUACCCUGGUAGUCCACGCAGUAAACGGUGAUCACUAGGUGUAACGGGUACUGACCCCUGCUGUGCCGAAGCUAACGCAUUAAGUGAUCCGCCUGGGGAGUACGACCGCAAGGUUAAAACUCAAAGGAAUUGACGGGGGCCCGCACAAGCGCUGGAGCAUGUGCUUUAAUUCGACGCAACGCGAAGAACCUUACCUGGAUUUGACAUCCCGGGAAUCUUUAUGAAAAUAGAGAGUGCCCUUCGGGGAGCCCGGAGACAGAUGCUGCAUGGCCAUCGUCAGCUCGAGUCGUGAGAUGUUGGGUUAAGUCCCGCUACGAGCGCGACCCCUAUCUUCAGUUACCAGCAUUUCCAUGGGGACUCU